rnacentral:rRNA from 1 species
UUCCUACGGGGCGCAGCAGUGGGGAAUAUUGCACAAUGGGGGAAACCCUGAUGCAGCGACGCCGCGUGAGCGAGGAAGUACCUCGGUAUGUAAAGCUCCGUCAGCAGGGAAGAAAAUGACAGUACCUGACCAAGAAGCCCCGGCUAACUACGUGCCAGCAGCCGCGGUAAUACGUAGGGGGCGAGCGUUAUCCGGAUUUACUGGGUGUAAAGGGAGCGUAGACGGCCAUGCAAGCUCGGUGUGAAAGGUGCGGGCACAACCCGCAGACUGCACUGAGAACUGUAUGGCUGGAGUGCCGGAGGGGC